UGAGGAAUAUUGGUCAAUGGGCGAGAGCCUGAACCAGCCAAGUAGCGUGCAGGAUGACGGCCCUAUGGGUUGUAAACUGCUUUUAUAUGGGAAUAAAGUGAGGGACGUGUCCCUUAUUGCAUGUACCAUACGAAUAAGGACCGGCUAAUUCCGUGCCAGCAGCCGCGGUAAUACGGAAGGUCCAGGCGUUAUCCGGAUUUAUUGGGUUUAAAGGGAGCGUAGGCUGUUUGUUAAGCGUGUUGUGAAAUGUAAGAGCUCAACUUUUAGAUUGCAGCGCGAACUGGCAGACUUGAGUGCGCACAACGUAGGCGGAAUUCAUGGUGUAGCGGUGAAAUGCUUAGAUAUCAUGACGAACUCCGAUUGCGAAUGCAGCUUACGGGAGCGCAACUGACGCUAAAGCUCGAAGGUGCGGGUAUCGAACAGG
rnacentral:rRNA from 1 species